rnacentral:rRNA from 1 species
CGCAGCCGCGGUAAUUCCAGCUCCAAUAGCGUAUAUUAAAGUUGCUGCAGUUAAAAAGCUCGUAGUUGAAUUUCGGGACCAAUAUGUCGGUCGUGCCUCGGUACGUACUGGCAUCGUUGGUUUCUCCCUUCUGACGAACCAUGAUGUCAUUUAUUUGGUGUCGUGGGGAAUCAGGACUGUUACUUUGAAAAAAUUAGAGUGUUUAAAGCAGGCUCACGCUUGAAUACAUUAGCAUGGAAUAAUGAAAUAGGACGUUUGAUUCUAUUUUGUUGGUUUCUAGGAUCGACGUAAUGAUUAAUAGGGAUAGUUGGGGCAUUAGUAUUCAAUUGUCAGAGGUGAAAUUCUUGGAUUUAUUGAAGAUUAACUACUGCGAAAGCAUUUGCCAAGGAUGUUUUCAUUAAUCAAGAACGAAAGUUAGGGGAUCGAAGACGAUCAGAUACCGUCGUAGUCUUAACCAUAAACUAUGCCGACUAGGGAUCGGAUGAUGU